rnacentral:lncRNA from 1 species
UAAUUGGUAGGGAAAGAAAUACUUAUUCAUUUUGAUAGGAAUUUGACAAGCAAGCAACGUAAGAUCCAAUGAUUUUGAUGAAGAUGGAAGUUAGGGCUUAAUUGCAAAGAUUGAAGAAUUCAAAAAAUUUUCCAACAGCAAGAUUUGAGAAUAAGAUAGUAACAAAGGGUUUUCUUGAGAUUAUGUAAAAGUGAAAGUAGAGGUAGGGUUUUUAUUUGCUAAAAUAACAAAUAGGAAUUUUAAUUGAAUUAGGAAAGGACUUUUAGAGAAUUGGCAUGAGUUUAAAAUGCAAUCUAUGAGGCUCAAUCCUUGGUGCUUUACACUUUCUACCAA